UUUAUUUUCUGACCCGAUCUAUAUUCAGGGCGCCGCCAUCUUUGUAUGUAUAGAGGAAGUCCCUGUGGGACACAUCAUCUGCCCACACUAGAUAGCCUGUGAGAUUCCCGUACAUGCGAACGGGAAUUUCAUCUAUUCAUUCAUUCGUCAGAAAGACGAAUGAAUGAAUAGCAUUGUCAGACGAACAAACAAACACGGUGUAUCAGUGUUCGUUUGUUCAUUCAGUUUAUUACAAGGAGGGAG